AUUUAUACUAUUACUUACUUACUUUAGUCCUCUUUGCAGAUUCAAUAAUUUUAUUUAUUAUUAUUAGACUGACUCUAAAUGGCUGGCUGCUUCUGAUGCUGAGCACUGCAUUCUGGGAAAUGCAGUUUCGGGCAAGGCCUUUUGAAUUCUUUGCCAGGGGGGUCUUGCCUUCCCAAACUACAUUUCCCAGAAUGUUGUAUUCUCAAUCUGCCACCCAGCCCAGCUAACUGCCCUUCUUUAUGGCAACUGGCAAGGAGUCUCAGUCUAGCAAUGGCCUCCUUGGCUUUACCAAAGUUGCUUAAUACUUAUAUUGAAAACUAAAGUGAUUUUGGGAGGCUUCCAAAUGUUACAGAAUUUUAGCAAAAAUGAUUGAAUCCUUCCUGCUGUUUUCGCAUUGUAAUAAAAUGCCAUCUUGCAAGCUUCACUUUGGAAGGCUGUGCUAUUUCAAAACUGGAAAAGAUUCUUUUUUAACUGAAUGAGACAUCUCAGUAAGCAGCAGAUAAAGACGGAAGUCCUUUGUCUGAAGUUGUACAGGCAUGGCCAGCUGUGAAGAAAACCUGCUGAAGUUUCACAGACGGCUUUUCUGGCUUCAAUAAAUUGGACUAUUUUUUAAAACUAUUUUAGGGAAAUAGCAGCAAAGGUGGAGAGUGUGAUUUUAUUUCCCUUUUUAUUUCCCUGCCAUGUUACUCUUGAUUCUGAAAACUGCAUUUAAAAUAUUAAUGAACACUGAAGCUAAGUGUAAGUGACAACAUCUAAAUUAAUAUUUGAUAGCUUACAAUUAAGCAAAGAAGGCUGUACCUUCAUCACUAACAUGGCAAUUUUUAUUAACACGUCAUAAUAAAUUGGUUAGUCCCAAAGGUACUUUAGUGGAGUCACCAAGAAUGUCUAUGCACUUAUGCGUAUUCAAACACAUUGGAGCUAUCUUUCCAUUCCAAGAACAACUAUACAUAGAACCAUAUAAAAACUGAAAGCAAAGAAAAAGCUUUCAUAAUAAUAGUAAAAAUAAAAAUAGAAAAGCAAUGUUUAUUGCCACUCAGGGCUAUGAUGGACUUUUUGCAAUCCUAGUGCAAUCCUAACUCAAAGCUCUACCAGUUGUAGGACGUUUGGAUGAGGCAUAAGCCUCUUUUCUUUGCAAAGGUGUCCUUCUGCUGGCUGACAUAAAACUUUAGAUAACAAUUAAAAUAAAGUGGUCCAUAUUUCAACCGGUAUAUUUUGUGCAGUCUCUUUACUUCAUUGAUUGGUCAGCAAGUCUCUUCUGUCCCAUUUCUGCAUAGGCCAGUUGUGAGGAAAAUGUUCACAA